GAGAUGCCAAGAAGAGGGCAUCUAUUUAUGAAUUUAAAAAAAUGAAACGUCUUGAUGUUCUCUUCGUGCAAGAGACGCACAGCGACAGCACCAACGAGGCCGACUGGAGGAGGGAGUGGGAAGGGGAAGUCCUGCUGAGCCACAACACCAACCUCAGUGGAGGAGUGGGCUUCCUCUUCUCCAGGUCUUUUAAGCCAAUCUCCCUGGAGGUCAAACACAUCAUCGAGGGGAGGUUGUUUUUAGUCAAGAUGGCUGUGCCCCGGAGGAUUUUUUAUUCUUGGGGGGGGAUUUUAACUGCACAGAAGAUGCGGCCAUAGACCGCAACCACGCAGAGCCACAUCCAGCUUCCCAGCACGCUCUGAGGCAGCUGGUCCGGUCUCAUGGCCUGGUGGAUGUGUGGAGAAGGAUGCAUGCAGACUGCCGACAGUACACGUGGUCCCACCUCAGAGAAGGUAGAAUCUCCUCAGCCAGGCUUGAUCGGUUUUAUGUUUUUAAGCACCAUUUUAAUAUUUUCAAAAUGUGUACCAUUGUACCGGCUGUUUUUUCAGAUCAUUCCCUGCUAGUGUGUAAUGUUUU
ensembl:lncRNA